rnacentral:rRNA from 1 species
CUUUGAUUAUGGCUCAGGACGAACGCUGGCGGCGCGCCUAACACAUGCAAGUCGAACGGAGAUUACAGGCGGAAGUUUUCGGAUGGAAGCUUGUAAACUUAGUGGCGGACGGGUGAGUAACACGUGAGCAACCUGCCUAUCAGAGGGGGAUAACGAUUGGAAACGAUCGCUAAUACCGCAUGACAUAGCGGAACCGCAUGGUUCUGUUAUCAAAGAUUUUAUCGCUGAUAGAUGGGCUCGCGUCCGAUUAGAUAGUUGGUGGGGUAACGGCCUACCAAGUCGACGAUCGGUAGCCGGACUGAGAGGUCGAACGGCCACAUUGGGACUGAGACACGGCCCAGACUCCUACGGGAGGCAGCAGUGGGGGAUAUUGCACAAUGGGGGAAACCCUGAUGCAGCGACGCCGCGUGAGGGAAGACGGUCCUCUGGAUUGUAAACCUCUGUCUUCGGGGACGAAACGAGACGGUACCCGAGGAGGAAGCCACGGCUAACUACGUGCCAGCAGCCGCGGUAAUACGUAGGUGGCAAGCGUUGUCCGGAAUUACUGGGUGUAAAGGGAGCGUAGGCGGGCAGGCAAGUCAGGCGUGAAAUAUAUCGGCUCAACCGGUAACGGCGCUUGAAACUGCAGGUCUUGAGUGAAGUAGAGGUUGCGGAAUUCCUAGUGUAGCGGUGAAAUGCGUAGAUAUUAGGAGGAACACCAGUGGCGAAGGCGGCCAACUGGGCUUUUACUGACGCUGAGGCUCGAAAGUGUGGGGAGCAAACAGGAUUAGAUACCCUGGUAGUCCACACCGUAAACGAUGAUUACUAGGUGUGGGGGGACUGACCCCUUCCGUGCCGGAGUUAACACAAUAAGUAAUCCACCUGGGGAGUACGGCCGCAAGGUUGCAACUCAAAGGAAUUGACGGA